CGAGGGGAAAAAGCCCCUUAAGUCAACUGUGUGCCAGAGCCUACUCCCGCUUUUAUUCCACUGCCAUGAUGAAAAUCAGCGUGUGGCAGAGGCCGCUCGGGAAACGCUACGUUGUUCGACAAAAUUCCUGAAGAAGAAGAGACUCAUGCAACUGGUGCAGACAGAGAAGCUGUGGAUAUUUGCUGAACGCCUGCUGGCCGAGGACAGGAGCCGAGCGGCCGAGCACCUGCGCCACGCCCUGCCGUACCUGCAGAGCCCACAGGAGCCCCUGCAAGUGGCGGCCAUCAGGUUCAUGGUGCUCGCCGUGAGGAGCUUGAGAGGGCAGAAGGAAGAGCUCCAGGUGGUGAAUGAGG